CCGUUCCCCGGACUGGCUCAGGCCGACGCUUUCCCAGUGGCUGCGCCCGGGGCUGGUGGCCUUCCCCGAGGCCGGGCAGCCUAGGGCCACAGUCGACUUGUCAAUGGUCAGGGUCCUAGAGGUAAAACUCUCAGGAAAGCCCCGGCGUGUGGGCGCCUAGCAGAGCUCCAAGAGACCCAGUCCCAGCGCAUCCCACCUGGGCAGGUUGUGUACGAGGAAUCCCCAAGCAGACCACCUAGCCACUCUGUGAUCUUGGGCAGCACCGCCCUUACCGAGCGGGCACCCCAACUGUAAAAUGGGGGUCACAGUGGUAUCUCCCAUAGCGCUGUUUUCAGGAUGAGGUCAGCCCUUGCCUUGCAGUCAGCUGCCAACAAACGUUUGUUUUGAUGAGCCCAGGGCCUGCCACGUGGUAGGUGUUCGCUAGAUUGUGUCUAUUCUCGAAAGCACCCUCUGAGCCGGGACCAGCCAGGGGGAAAGUGAGUUGAAUCAUCUUCCCUCUGCCGCCUGCAGCAGCCUGACAUCCAGUAGAUAAUUAUUUGGAGCACCCUAGAGAGUGAUGGCAAGGUUCACACCAUGAACAAGCAAUGAUGAGCGCUGAGGAUGCCUCUGAGGUCUCUUCUCUCAUCCCUCCCGGGACCCACCGGGAGGAGUCCAAUUGGACCCAUGCGGAAAGCAAACAGCCAGAAUCAUAUAGGAGGGGAAACAACCAAAAAAAAAAAGGCAGUGAAGGCCUGAAGAGGGAAGAAACUGCUCAUGUGAUGUUCAGAGCCAGGAGCAGUCAGGUUUGUUCCAGGGCUGUGUAGACUUUUCACUUGCUUGAGUCUGUGACUUGGCAGAUAGAGGUGGGUGCCAGGGGGCAGGAAGGGGCAUAAAAAGGAUAGGAUCUACAGUGAUGGCUACCUGAGGUCCUUUUCAGCUCCAGGAGUCCUGGGAUUUCGUAAUCCGCAUGAUUCAUCCUUUCAGCAGGUGUGAGUCACCCUAAUAGAGGUGGGAGAACGGGAGGCGUGGUGGGAGGCCCAACCCGGACAGGCUAAAUUCCUGUUCACAAGGGCUCCUGCCAAGGGCCCCUCUUAGAACCCAGGGAUCUACGUCCCAGUGGCCUUCUCUUCUCUUCACCAGCCAUACUUUCUGUCCCUUCCCUUUUCCGGCAAGCGGGGUCGUCUUCCCGGACAAUUGCUGCAGGCCUACCCCAGGCUGCAGAAUACAGGCUCCUUGUGUGCUGGCUGGGUGCUCACUGGCGCCUGCCCACUGGAAAGGCUUGAGGCCAUGAUGCAAGCUGGCCAGUGCUAGAGGAGAACAUGCCACACCUGUUGGGCAGUGACAGUACCCAGAACCCUCACCCUAACCCUGCCCAGCCACCUGGCCCACAGAGAAGGGACACUGUGCUGAAUCGGGUGGAGUUACAGGCCUUGCCCUGUUCCUGUCCAGCAAUCCAUCGGACACUGUGUGUCACUUUUCUGCCCCUUGUUAGCCAGCCUGUCACUGAGAGUCAUCCAGAUCCUACGGCAUUCCUCUGUAAGUAUGUGGGCCGCUCUAAGGUAUAGCACACUGCACAUAAUCCAAGUGAUUAUGAAGCAGCUCGUGCCUCCCAGGAGGGUACUCCCAUGACAACAGUGAUUUUGACAGGCAGAGAUAAGGGUUUUUCCAUAAUAAUUUGGUAGAUUAAGGGAUUCAGCCUACUGAACUGAGAGGAGACUAAGACACAUCUGAAUUUUUAUUUGGAGGGAUCUGAAUUUAUUUUAUUAACAAGGUUGGUCCUCUGGGGCUAAACUUUCCACUUAUGGCGGAGGUACGUGGGCUAUAGCUUGGCUUCAGCAUUGCAGGAAGACCAGCUUCCCAAAAUGAACAUCCUAAAUCAAAUUGCCUCCUCUGAGUUUCCUAUUGAUUUACACUAUGACAGGAUUAACUCAGUCAUGGUACCAGCCCUUUGCAUUGUGAUAGGAUCUGUAAUAAAACUUGGUUCAUCUUCUUGCAGGGAGAGGAUUUAUUAUUACUCACUGGGACUGCCGCUUACCAGAUGGCCCCGGAGGUCCACACCACUCUGGGGUAGGGAGCCUGCUGCUCCCGUAGACUGAGGCCCCAGUGACUUGAACUGGGUCACAGCCCUCCCUCCACAGUGAUGGAGCCGCUGACAACACGGACAAGGUUACCCGUGCUGCUUUGGAUCUGUUCUGGCAAAACAUUUUCUCCUGGAAAAACAUUUUCCUGAACACACUGCUGCCCCAAAUUGAGCAAAACGAGGAUUCUUCAAGCAGAAGGCAGCUCCAGGAGGGAUGCUAGGUGGGUCCCCAGCUGGCACCUGCUCCCCUUUUCUGUUCUGCUGUCUCGCCUUUAUCUAGAUCCUGCUAGACACACAGCAGACUCCAAAUAGUUACUGAAAGGAGGGCCAGAGGGAGUGGGGAGGAAAAGAACGAAAGAAGGGGAAAAAGACAGAAGGAAAGGAAGGCUCAUAUAUUGCUUAGGAUGAAUCCAGGAAAUUAAAUACCAACACAAAUCAGCUGUAAGCAGCUACAACUUUGACCUUCCUGGCCUCCCCGAGCCCCACGCCAAGCAGAACCCUAGCACUCAAUGGCAUUUUACCCAAGUCCAACAGCAAGCGUGCCUCUUUCUCCUGUAUGAAAACAUCCCUUGGCUCCAGGAUGGGCUGCAAGCUCCUUGCCUGAGUACUGUUCCCAGGAAAUAAGCCAGAGGGCACAAGCAACGCUGCUCCUCACCUCCUGCCCUGGGCCCUGCCCUGCCCCUCCGAAGCUGCCACCACCCCCCACCAUGCCCUGGGCUCCAGGGAAUUCCAGCCUCCAGAUCUCGUUCUGGCAAUGACCCACACUCCUGGCCCUUUAAUCCAUUCACUCCUGGGCCCUCUCCUGCGCUGCAGAGCUUCCUCCGCCCCAAGACUGCGUCCUUGCUGCCCCUACCACCAACCCCUCGUGCUUCCCCUCUCUGCUGCUCCUCUUGUCUUCCCCACAAGGCUUCUGGGAAAGGUUCUAGCCCUUCGCUCUGCAUUCAGGAGUCACCCUGUGCCCAAGACCUCAUCCCCCAGCACUGCACCUGCGAGGCCAGAUGAAGGUGGAGAAGAAACAAAACCACUCGAACUGGUCUCGCUUGAAGUUUGUCUUUACUCACCUGCAGCAGUUGCAGCAAAGUCUCACUGUUCUCAGGGACACUUUCAACCCCUCCUUCUCCAACCCCGCUUCGGCCUCCUUCUCAGGGAGACGCCUCCUCCUGCCCCUGCCUGGGCUCUGUCUCCCCAGCAUUGCUGCAGGUGGACACGGGGUCUCGCCCUCCCAAGGGCCUCCUCCCCGGCCAUGUGCUGGUCCCAACCUCACCCCAGUCAGGGAUGCUCCUUCCUCAGUAUCACCCCAAAGGUCCAUGUGUUGAAAUUUAACCCCCACUGUGAGAUGUUAAAGGGGAGGAAGUGAGAUGUAACCCAGUUCUGGUGUUCAGAAGUGACUGGACUUAGAUAAAGUCGUUCAGAUGGAACCCCAUGAUUAGACGCUGGUGUCUUGAUAAGAAGACAGAGAGAGACAGAAGAGACACAACCAUGCAGCCCUUAUCUCUUAUCAUGUCCUGUGCCGUCAGGGUCUUUGCCAGCAAAAAGCCCAUUACCAGCUGGGGACCCUGAACCCUGCACCUCUGGAACUGUGAGCCAGAAUAAACCUGUUUUCUUUAUAAAAUUA